rnacentral:miRNA from 1 species
AGCUGUUUUGGGACUACAAUUCCCAUCAUCCCUGACCACUGGGCCUGCUAGGGAAGAUGGGAGUUGUAGUCCCAAAACAGCU